rnacentral:misc_RNA from 1 species
CUUGGUCAUUUAGAGGAAGUAAAAGUCGUAACAAGGUUUCCGUAGGUGAACCUGCGGAAGGAUCAUUAAAAAUCUUUAUCCGGGAAUUCGUUUCGUUUUCCCGGAUUAUUUGUAUUCAAAUCCCACUCUUUAUAAAUAUAUUAAUUAUAUAAAACAAAAUAAAAAAGAAAACUUUCAACAACGGAUCUCUUGGCUCUCGCAUCGAUGAAGAACGCAGCGAAAUGCGAUACGUAGUGUGAAUUGCAGAAUUCCGUGAAUCAUCGAAUCUUUGAACGCAAAUUGUACUUUCCAGUAAUCUGGGAAGUAUGCUUGGUUGAGGGUCAUUAUAAUAACAUUCGUGAAUUUUUUCGCGGAUUUAAGUUUUCCAGUAUUUUUAUUAUAAAAAAAAAUGAUGGUAACUUUAAAAUUAUUUAUUACUUGGUACAAGUUGAAAACGUACUAUAUGUGUAGUUCGCUGACAACUUGUCCAUCAUCAUAUAUUAUGCACGCACUUGGUUUUUUACGCUCUGUGCGAGUAUAUAUUUUUUUUAUGACCUCAGCUCAAGCAAGAAUACCCGCUGAACUUAAGCAUAUCAAUAAGCGGAGGAAAAGAAACUAACAAGGAUUCCCCUAGUAACGGCGAGUGAAGAGGGAAAAGCUCAAAUUUUAAAUCUACCUGGUUCCCAGGUCGAAUUGUAAUUUGAAGAAGCGAUAUCGGUUUUGAGGUCUGGUUUAAGUUCUUUGGAACAAGACAUCAUGGAGGGUGAGAAUCCCGUGCAUGAUCAGACCAAGAUACCCAAUAUUCGUUUUCUAAGAGUCGAGUUGUUUGGGAAU